UCGACCUGAGCUCAGGCAAGAUUACCCGCUGAACUUAAGCAUAUCAAUAAGCG
rnacentral:rRNA from 1 species